AACGAACGCUGGCGGCAUGCCUAACACAUGCAAGUCGAACGAGACCUUCGGGUCUAGUGGCGCACGGGUGCGUAACGCGUGGGAACCUGCCCUUAGGUUCGGAAUAACUCCCCGAAAGGGGUGCUAAUACCGGAUAAUGUCUUCGGACCAAAGAUUUAUCGCCUUUGGAUGGGCCCGCGUUGGAUUAGCUAGUUGGUAGGGUAAAAGCCUACCAAGGCGACGAUCCAUAGCUGGUCUGAGAGGAUGAUCAGCCACACUGGGACUGAGACACGGCCCAGACUCCUACGGGAGGCAGCAGUGGGGAAUAUUGGACAAUGGGCGAAAGCCUGAGCCAGCAAUGCCGCGUGAGUGAUGAAGGCCUUAGGGUUGUAGCUCUUUUACCCGGGAUGAUAAUGACAGUACCGGGAGAAUAAGCUCCGGCUAACUCCGUG
rnacentral:rRNA from 1 species